AAAAAAAUUCACAAAAUGAAGUGUACAUUUCAAUGGACUAUAGUUACUCACACCUAUCAUCACUGUCUAUAGCACCACUAUCUCCUUUCAGAACAUUUUCAUCAACUCCAGAAAGAAACCCUACACCCAUUAACUGUCACUCACCGGUUCCCCCUAACCACCACCCUGCCUAGCUCCCAGAAACUCAUCUACUCUCAGUCUGUAGAUUUGCCUGUUCUGGACAUUUCACAGAAAUAGAGUUAUGUAACAUGUGGCCUUUUGCAUCUGACUCCUUUCGCUUAGCAGAGUGUUUCCAAGGUUCGUCCACAUUGGACCGCGUUUUAUGGUCCAAGAAAUCUCAAGACUGGGAACCACCGCCUACCACAGAGUGCUUUAACCCUGUGUCAUUGUGAUCCACAGAAGAGAACUGUGGAAAUGAGAAGGCAGGCAUCAUCUUCCCCACUUCACAGAGGAGACACAGGCUCUGCUCAAUGGAGUAAUUUGCCUAAAGUCCCCGUAGGCUCCCCCAUCUCCCUGCCCUGCUGCCUCUGAAAUGUCUGUUGCACAGAAUAAUUGGAAAUUACCAUUUUGUCAAAAUAUUCAAGGUCUAGAAAGUUCUAGGUCAGCAACACAGUGGCAGGUGAAAGGGCUUAAACACAGUCUUUUACUACCUCUCAAAGCUGUGGCCCCCCGGCCUCUGCAGUCUACAUUGACCGGGAGACAGAGGGCAGAGGGAGGCAGAGACUGACCUGAAGACCCGGAGACGACCCCUGGGUUCUGGUUCACAUUGGCUGUCUGGGAGCUAAUCCAAGACCUUUGUCUUGCUUUGUAGUUCAUGGGGAAAAAUGAGAAUUUUGGUUCAGUCUGAGGUUUGGAAAUGAGUGUGCAUUGUUUCAGGGCAUUCAGUUGCAUUUAGACCUCUGGCACACGACAGCUGGCAGCCCACAGCCGCAGGGAGAGCUGUGUCCUGCGGAGGAAUCGGCCUUCUCUGGCUUUUCCUAGUUGCUAUUUUUUCACAGGUAGAUAAACACUGAGUCAGAGCCAGUGAACUGUCGCCAUGCCUAAGGAGGGCUAGGGUAGAGACGAGAAGAGCAGGCACCGGAAGCUGGGAUGCUCCUGCCACGGGAUGUCCCCAGGACGAGCCCAUGGAUGUGCCCCUGCAUCCUUCCCUGCAACCAGCACAGGAAACGUGGACAGACGGCUGGCUGCUUUCUCUUGGAAGUGGCAGGGUGCACACACGCUCCAGGCGAUGUCUGCAAGAAGGUUCUCAGCAUUCUCAGCAGCACCGAUCGUAACCGCGAAGACUGGAAACCACCCAAACAUUUCCCGGCAGGUGAAGGGGAACAUUGGAAUCUUUGACUCAGCAUCUGUUUCUGGGGGAAUCUGACCUAAAACAGAUACAAUUUUAUCAAAAGAAAAGUGAACUGAGACUGAGCUACAAACUCAACAUAUGGCAAGAGGAGUAGAGGUGAGAACCGAAUUUCCCAAACUUGGAUAAAUCACCAAAUCUCUCUGGACUUCAGCUUCCUCAUUUAACAACCAAAGAUGUGAUGAGGCAGGUCACAGAGCAGAGGACUUGGCGAAUGGCCAAGAAUCACAGCACGUGGGCGGCACUGAGAACAAUCCAAGAAAUGCAGGACAUUUUUCAUCUGUCACAAGGCAAGGGGGCCCAGAGAAUGUCACCCCUAGCAUCAGCAGGGCGUGGAGAGAGUGACCCUCUCCUCCUUUGUGGAUGGGAGUGUAAAUUGGUAGGAUCUUUUUGGAGGGCCGCUGGCAGUACCUACAGAAAUGUUAAAUAGGAAAACCCUUUGACCCAGCCGUUCUGCCUCCCUGAGUUUAUCCUACAGCAGUACUCACACCAGAUUUCAAGGAAGGGCGUACAAGUGUGUUAAUUACAGCACUGUUUAUGACAGCUGCAACUUGUCAACGACUUAAAUGUCCUUCAUUUGGAGACUGGUUAAAAACAACGGCAUAUCCCUGCAGUGGAAUACUACACAGCCACGGAGAGGAGUGGGGCACUGGGAAGAAACUGUGAUAUAUAAUCAAGUGGAAAAAGCAAAUUGUAGAGCAGGGUGGACAGUGAAGUAACCUUUUUUGCAAAAAGUAUUUCCAAACAUAAGUAUUACAAUUUGCAAAUGCAUAGAACACAGUCUGGAAGAACAUAUACCAAACUGCUUUAUCUGUAGUUACUCUUGUGAAUAAGGUUGGGAAUUUUCUAAAGUAGGUUUAUUUUUUGUUUGCUUUUUUUUUUUUGAGACAGAGUCUCGCUUUGUUGCCCGGGCUAG